GACAGAGGGUGCAAACGUUGCUCGGAAUCACUGGGCGUAAAGGGCGUGUAGGCGGGGACGGUAAGUCGGGCGUGAAAUCCCUAGGCUCAACCUAGGAACUGCACUCGAAACUACCAUUCUUGAGUGUCGGAGAGGAAAGCGGAAUUCCUGGUGUAGAGGUGAAAUUCGUAGAUAUCAGGAGGAACACCAGUGGCGAAGGCGGCUUUCUGGACGAUAACUGACGCUGAGACGCGAAAGCGUGGGGAGCAAACAGG
rnacentral:rRNA from 1 species